CUAACAGUGACAUCUCUUUAAUUUGCUUAUCACUCAUCUUGCCUCUCCCUUCUGGCAAUGUGAUCAUCAAUUAUUGACUUUGGAGGAUGCUUGGAAGCAUCAUGAGUAACAUGUUCCAAACCACCUUUUGAAAUCCGUCAUGAGACUGAGUUUCCGGCUUCAUCUGGCUGGUCUUACUAUAUAAGGGCCCCUGGUAGGCAGAGUCUUACAGGAGGAGGAAGAGAAGGAAAUUCAGAUUCCUGCUGCAACUCCUUGGAGACAUCCAGACAUGAAGACCCUGAUGCUGUUAGGACUUGUGCUCUUGUGUGGCCAGUUCUCACUGAGCUUGGCCCAGGAGGAAGAACAAGGCUCAAAGGUCAUCUCAGAGGUUGCUGCUAGUAUGCAGAAUAGUCUGAAAAAUGCUGUGGAAGACCUCAGCAAGCUGGACUUGAUAAAAGAACUUGAGAACACACCAGUUAUUGGAGAUGUCCUGAAGACAACGAAAAUAAUUGUUGGGAAUAUAGUUUCGUUCAACAUUAACCAUGCCCAACUCCUGAAAAUUUCCCUUCAAGAAAAUCAAGACACAGAGAGUCUCUCUCUCAGCGUGCCCUUGGAUGUCUCUCUGAGUUUGAACACACGGCUUUUUAAGACGAUUGAUGUCUCUCUAAAUGCGAAGACAUCACUUGAACUCACAACUGAAAAGGAUGAAGAUGGAGGAGCUCACUUGGUUGUUUCCAAAUGUCAGACAAGCCCUCAACUUCUUGAAAUCUCAGCCAAGAGAACGGGGCUCUUUGGGCUGGGAGUAGAAGUAUCUGAGACCGUGAGCAACCUGGCUCAGCUGACGGUCAACCAAUUAGCCUGCCCUUUGAUCACAACUGCAGUAAAAUUGGUGCCUCCAGCACUGGUAGACAGCUUGCAGAAUGUGGUACGUGGGAACGUGAGUGUUACUGUGUAAUUCUUCAUUACAUGGACAAUAACUUCCCUCCUUCCCCAAGGGUAAGCCCCUCUUGCUCUUCUUUUCCUUCUGCCUGAAGCCAUUUAAAGCCAGAGGACAACUUACUGGAUCUCGUGUCUGAUGAGAAAAAUCCUUUCCCUCUGCUGACCCUUGCCAUGGUCUCCUUGCCUGGAGUUAUUGGAGCCACUUUCCUUGCGUGAAGACUCUCUCUGGAUGGUGUGUUCCUUCCACCUGCUUUUCCUUACAAUAAACUUCCCAGUAUUUCAGCA
ensembl:lncRNA